rnacentral:rRNA from 1 species
AGAGUUUGAUCAUGGCUCAGAACGAACGCUGGCGGCAGGCCUAACACAUGCAAGUCGAACGCCCCGCAAGGGGAGUGGCAGACGGGUGAGUAACGCGUGGGAACGUGCCCUUUGGUUCGGAAUAACUCAGGGAAACUUGAGCUAAUACCGGAUGUGUCCGUAAGGAGAAAGAUUUAUCGCCAAAGGAUCGGCCCGCGUUGGAUUAGCUAGUUGGCGGGGUAAAAGCCCACCAAGGCAACGAUCCAUAGCUGGUCUGAGAGGAUGAUCAGCCACACUGGGACUGAGACACGGCCCAGACUCCUACGGGAGGCAGCAGUGGGGAAUAUUGGACAAUGGGCGAAAGCCUGAUCCAGCCAUGCCGCGUGAGUGAUGAAGGCCCUAGGGUUGUAAAGCUCUUUCGCCAGGGACGAUAAUGACGGUACCUGGAUAAGAAGCCCCGGCUAACUUCGUGCCAGCAGCCGCGGUAAUACGGGGGGGGCAAGCGUUGUUCGGAUUUACUGGGCGUAAAGGGAGCGUAGGCGGCUCGUCAAGUCCGGUGUGAAAUCCUUACCGCUUACCGGAAGGAGGUCAUCGGAAACUGGCGGGCUAGAGCAAGGUAGAGGCAAGCGGAAUUCCUGGUGUAGCGGUGGAAUGUGUAGAUAUCAGGAAGAACAUCUGUGGCGAAGGCGGCUUGCUGGGCUUUUGCUGACGCUGAGGCUCGAAAGCGUGGGGAGCAAACGGGAUUAGAUACCCCGGUAGUCCACGCCUUAAACGGUGCGCACUAGGUGUAGAGGGUAUCGACCCCUUCUGUGCCGCAGCUAACGCAUUAAGUGCGCCGCCUGGGGAGUAC